rnacentral:tRNA from 2 species
UCUCUGGUAGCUCAGUGGUUUAGAGCUUCAAGCUUAUGCGGCGGCUUUUUCGUUUCUUGAGGGUCGAGAGUUCAAACCUCUCCCGGAGAA